UGAGGAAUAUUGCCCAAUGGAGGAAACUCUGAGGCAGCGACGCCGCGUGGGUGAAGAAGGUCUUCGGAUCGUAAAGCCCUUUUCUGCGUGACGAGGAAGGACGGUAGCGCAGGAAAAAGUCUCGGCUAACUACGUGCCAGCAGCCGCGGUAAAACGUAGGAGGCAAGCGUUAUCCGGAGUUACUGGGCGUAAAGCGCGCGCAGGCGGAUGGAUAAGUGGGUUGUGAAAGCGCUCGGCUAAACCGGGCGAGGACAAAUCAGACUGUUCAUCUAGAGGCGGAUAGAGGAGCGUGGAAUUCCGGGUGUAGCGGUGAAAUGUGUAGAGAUCCGGAGGAGCACCAGUGGUGCAAACGACGCUCUGGGUCCGAACUGACGCUGAGGCGCGAAAGCGUGGGGAGCGAACG
rnacentral:rRNA from 1 species